GGAAUGAAACGACAAUCGUUUCUUGGCGGUUCCUACCAUCCUUGGUUAUUCAUUGAAGAGGCUGUUCAAUCAAUUAAUAUGACUCACGAUAGCGCUAAAACUCAAAUGGAUGUGAAGCUGAGAUCGUUGAUUUGUUAUGGAUUAAA